CGCAUGAAAGGCGUCCCCUCCCCCGCAGGGCAGAAGGACUCUCUGUUUCCAGCCUAAGCUCACUACCACUGUUUUCCUGAGAAUGAGGAGGAGGAGGAGGAAAAGCAGGAGUAUGUGACUCUGCUGGUUCAUCUUGGUUGUCAACUUGACUGGAUCUGGAAUUAACUAAAAGAGAAGCUUCUGGGCACACCUGUGAAAGAUUUUCUGGAUCAGGUUAUUUGAAGAAAGAAGACCCUCCAUAAAGUCCUUUACUAUGUGAGAAACAGUAUUCGAGGUACUAUGUUAGAAACCUUUCCUGGACCCUGAACAACACGAAACCCAUCUGCACACCGAGCUGGGGCUUCACUGCUUUCAGAACUGUACAAACCAAGUCUGACUCUGCUUAGCUUCCAGCAACUGUGAAGGACAUUGGCAUUAUAAUACAGCAUUCCGGGACCACAUGAAAUGUUGCCUGUACAUAAGCACUGUGAAUCUACAACAGCCUAAGAGAUCUACUAG